rnacentral:rRNA from 1 species
CCUACGGGAGGCAGCAGUGAGGAAUAUUGGACAAUGGAGGCAACUCUGAUCCAGCCAUGCCGCGUGCAGGAAGACGGCCCUAUGGGUUGUAAACUGCUUUUAUACAGGAAGAAAACCUUGGUACGUGUACUAGCCUGACGGUACUGUAAGAAUAAGGAUCGGCUAACUCCGUGCCAGCAGCCGCGGUAAUACGGAGGAUCCAAGCGUUAUCCGGAAUCAUUGGGUUUAAAGGGUCCGCAGGCGGUCUUUUAAGUCAGAGGUGAAAUCCUAUCGCUCAACGAUAGAACUGCCUUUGAUACUGAUAGACUUGAGUUAUUGUGAAGUGGUUAGAAUGUGUAGUGUAGCGGUGAAAUGCAUAGAUAUUACACAGAAUACCGAUUGCGAAGGCAGAUUACUAACAAUACACUGACGCUGAGGGACGAAAGCGUGGGUAGCGAACAGGAUUAGAUACCCUGGUAG